rnacentral:lncRNA from 1 species
CUUUUUUUUUUUUUUUUUUUUUUUUUCCCCUUCUGUUAAGGGAUAGCUCUACCUAUUUUGCCUGAUAAUAUUCAAUCAUUGUAAAAAAUUCAAGCAACCCAGAGGGUGCAACCGGAUGCCAUGAUCCUACCCCCAGAGGGUGCAACUGGAUUCCAUGAUCCUACCCCCAAACUUUAGCAAUAUUCAUCCUUCUCAUCUUCUAUGAUUUUUUUCAUAUCUCAAUAUAUACUUUGAACCUUGGUGAAAAAAAAAAAACACAUAAAAUUUACCUUCUUAACCAUUUUUAGUGUGCAGUUCUGUAGUGUUAAAUAUAUUCACAUUGUGUCAAACAAAUUUUUCAUUUGGCAUAUCCGAAGCUCUAUACCUAUUAAACAACUCCCCUUCUGCCCUCUCUCCAGCCCCUGGUAACCACUCUACUUGGUUCCUAUGAAUUUUACUACUUUAGAUACCUUAGAAUCAGACAAUAUUUGUCAUUUUUGUGACUAGUUUAUCUCACCUAGCCUGACAUCCUCAAGGUUCAUCCAUGUUGUAGCAUGCGACAGGAUCUCCUUCCUUUUUAAGGCUGAAUAAUAUUCCAUGGUAUGUAUGGGCCACGGUUUGCUUAUCCAUUCAACCACUGGUGAUCACUUGGGUCGUAUCAGUCUCUUGGCUAUUGUGAGAGUAGUGCUGCUAUGAACAUGGAUAUGCAAAUAAUCUCUUCCCGACACUGUUUUUAGUUCUUUUGGAGGUUCCCAGGCUAGGGGUCCAAUCAGAGCUGUAGCCACCGGCCUGUGCCAGAGCCACAGCAACGCGGGAUCCGAGCCGCGUCUGCAACCUACACCACAGCUCACGGCAACGCUGGAUCCUUAACCCACUGAGCAAGGGCAGGGACCGAACCCGCAACCUCAUGGUUCCUAGUCGGAUUCGUUAACCACUGCGCCACGACGGGAACUCCUGAUUUUUUUUUUUUAAUUGUUAUUUCCCCAAUACAGUUUCUUUUUUACACGUACAUGUAUGCAUUCUUUUUUCUCACAUUAUCAUGCUCCAUCAUAAGCAACUAGACAUAGUUCCCCGGGCUGCACAGCUGAUUUUUGGAUAGUAGUCGUCUGGAUGGGUAGGUCAUUGUAUAUCCUUCCUGUCUUUAUGUCUGUGGAGAUGCACCUUUAAAACAAGUGUGAUCAUAUUAUAUGUGCUUUCUUUAUGGAAAAUGGCUUCUCUCUCUUGCUAGGUUUUUGUAAAAAGCUAUUAACCUGCAUAAAUAUUUUAAUUCUUAAUGUCAAGGGACUAAAACAGGCUAAAGCAGAAGACUAGGUUGGGCUUUGUUUUGUUCUAUUCGACCCGGUAUGUUUUAACCCCUGUUACAAUGAAUCCGUUUGGAAUCAUCUUUCAAUUCUGUUUUUGUGUAUGAAAAAAAAAUUUUUUUUUUUUGGUCUUUUUGCCAUUUCUUGGGGCGCUCCCGCGGCAUAUGGAGUUCCCAGGGUAGGGGUCUAAUCAGAGCCAUGGCCGCUGGUCUACACCAGAGCCACAGCAACGCAGGAUCCGAGCCGUGUCUGCGACCUAUACCACAGCUCACGGCAACGCCAGGUCCUUAACCCACUGAGCAAGGGCAGGGACCGAACCCGCAACUUCAUGGUUCCUAGUCGGAGUCAUUAACCACUGAGCCACGAUGGGAACUCGUGAAAAUUUUUAUAGUACAAACUUGGGGGCCUUUUUCAAAUUUCCAUCGUAGAGUCAAUACAACUGAUUUGCUGUGACUUAGGAGUCCUUUUCAAAGGUCUUCAGGGUCUAGGCCUUUCAUCUUUGGGAAUUUGUUUCUCAUGAAGGUGUUGAAGGGAAGGCGGUUGGAAAUAGUGGAAACUGGAGUCAGCUGCCGGCCCUGCCCAAAGGCCAUUCUCAUUUCAACUUUAACAAAACCAAAGCUGGGAGGGCCACACAACACUUACCUGGUUUGAAUUGGGCUCAUAGGUGCAAUUUGACAUCUCCUCUGAAGCCAUGGUCCUUUGUUGGGAUAGUCUUUGCCUUUGCCAUCUCUCAGGUUUUAGUUACCUUCCCCUGCCCCCUGCCUUGUUUAGGCCCCAGGCUAUAGUGCUCCUGGCUCAUGUCCCGGGCCCUACUCUGGCUCCUGCCAGGAAGGACCAUCGCAUCAGUUGACUUUAGUAAACCACUUGAAUGGGAAGGAAGAUUUGGGGUCAGGGUAGCCUCAAGUUAGAGCGUGAGCAGCGUGGGUUUGUGGGGUCUCAAGAAUGCCAUGAGUGUUCUGGUGGUCCUGGAGUCAGGCUUGGGUAGAUUCCAGCUCUGCUGCUUACCAGUUGUAUGUCUGCAGGAGGCAAAGUGCUUUGCCUGUCGAAGCCUCGCCUUCUACCUCUGAGAGUGGUAGAAGGAUAAAGGGUUUUCAUGAGAUUGGGAACAUGCCCAGCUCAGAGCCCAGCACAUGGUCAGCCCUGUAGCUUUUGGGACUUAGAGACCUUGUGGACAUGCCAUGGUGGAUACUCCUACAAGUCAUGGCAAAAUGUUGUGUUGAUGUGCACUUUAUUUUUCCUGGGGAGAGGAUCCAUUACCUUUCGUGAGAUUCUCAACACAGACCACGACAGCGUAGGGACGCUGGUGUUCAGGGCUGCUGAGGAAGUUGUCCCAGGACCCAGAGGUUGACGAAUUGACACGCAGGGCCUCCUAGACCUGGAAGGGCAAAGUCGAGUUUGGUUCGUUCUUUCCAUCCCCGUCAGAACUUGACUGAUCAUAGAUUUAUGCAGUUGACCCACUUUCUCCAAGGGCAGAGCCAGUUUUCCAGGCGGUGCCGAUGUCAGAAUUGGAAAAGCAGAUUCUCAGUCAGCCAACGUGACCUCUGCAAGAAUGGCCGUGUUGCUGGCUUUCCAUUUGAAGGCAGGGAUAGGGGCAGGGGUAUGUGAUGAAUAACCCCAGAGGGACUGUGACGGUCACUGCUGAUGUUAUGACCAGAUGCAGGAGCGUCUAGAAGAGGAAGGCUGUGCCUCAUGAAGGGGCCAUACAGGAGAGCGUUUCUGGUGUUUGGUGCUGCGACCCCUCCCUCCACCUCCCUUGUGCACCCGGAGGGGGAUUUCUACAGCAGCGUGGAAGCCCGGCUCCUAGGGCAGUGGCCUUGGGCACAUGGCUGAGGGUUGUCUUUCACAGUCAACCCCUGUGCCCCUGUGAGUCCCUAACCACCCCUUCCCAUGUCACCCUUCCCUGGGCUGAAAACAUGACUCAGAAGAUUAAUGAGGCAAUGGGAAAAUACCGCAUCCAGUGCUCUGUCCCUCUGUUCCUUUCCCACAGACCUGAUCCAGAGCCAUCACAGAACUUGGAAAGGGCACUUGGCUUCUAGGGAACCAGCUAUUGGAAAUCUUUCACGACUCUUGCACUUAGAACACCCCCCAGUUGUGUCCUCAGUUCUGGCUCGUGUGCUUUGUUUAUGCAACAGGUGUUUUUAGAUGAGGGACUAGAAAUUGGUGGAGAAAAAGUCAGAUGGGUUCAAGGAUGGAUAGUGGGACAGACAGAUGAAUAGAUGUGUGAUAAAUACGAAUAGUCAAAUGUAAGGGACAAACUCUGGUCCACAUGGUGGCUAUCCAGGUGUUCAUUGUAAAAUGCUUUCAAUAUCGCUGUGUGUUUGAAGAUUUUAAUAAUCGAAUGUGGUUGGAAAUGAGAUGAAGUGUUCGGGUGUAAAAACUCUGGGGAUUUUGUGAAUUGGGGAUUCCACAUCUCCUCCCACCCUCCACCAUGGUUUCCCCAUUGUUUUCAAGUUCUGUCUUCAUGGCCUAGUCACUGUUAGGGACACUCGGGGGCAUGUUCUAAGUGAUGUGGAUACAAUAGUGGCAAGAGUGUCCUCUGACUGUGGGACACAUGCGCUUUCAUUAUUUCGAGGGCAGAUCGGACAAGCCCUUGUGAAAAAAGUUCUAUGUGGAGUUCCCACUGUGGCUCAGUGGUUUCAUGAAGUAUCUGGUAUCAUGAGGACUUGGGUUCCAUCCCUGGCCCUGCUCAUUGGGUUAAGGAUCCAUUGUUGCUAUGGUGUCAGCUGGCCCGGGCUGUCGACCCCUAGCCUAGGAACUUCAAUAUGCCACGGGUGCAGCCCUAAAAAGCAAAAAAAAAAAAAAAAAAAAAAAAA